GAGUUUGAUCCUGGCUCAGAUUGAACGCUGGCGGCAGGCCUAACACAUGCAAGUCGAGCGGCAGCACGGGUACUUGUACCUGGUGGCGAGCGGCGGACGGGUGAGUAAUGCCUAGGAAUCUGCCUGGUAGUGGGGGAUAACGCUCGGAAAUGGACGCUAAUACCGCAUACGUCCUACGGGAGAAAGCAGGGGACCUUCGGGCCUUGCGCUAUCAGAUGAGCCUAGGUCGGAUUAGCUAGUUGGUGAGGUAACGGCUCACCAAGGCGACGAUCCGUAACUGGUCUGAGAGGGAUGAUCAGUCACACUGGAACUGAGACACGGUCCAGACUCCUACGGGAGGCAGCAGUGGGGAAUAUUGGACAAUGGGCGAAAGCCUGAUCCAGCCAUGCCGCGUGUGUGAAGGAAGG
rnacentral:rRNA from 1 species